CCGUUCCCGGGUCUUGUACACACCGCCCGUCACACCACGAAAGUCGGCAACACCCGAAGCCGGUGGCCUAACCCGCAAGGGAGGGAGCCGUCGAAGGUGGGGCUGGCGAUUGGGGUG
rnacentral:rRNA from 1 species